UUUGACUAAGCCAACAGAUCUGAAAUGUCUAAUCUGAAUUAGUAGUAGGUGAUUCAAUUUCAGAACCUUUAUCUUGUAUUUUGAUCCUUCGUUUCAAAAAAAUUUAAGCAAAUUUUAUUGGUUGUUAGACCAUUUUAUUCAACAAACGCCCCAAAUGGCCAAGUCCAAGAAUCCACAAAGCAAAACAAAAUAGACCGGCGUAAAAUUAUGACUUGGUCCAUAAAAAAAUAGAAAGCUGCAAAGUUUUCUACUAAUGUAUAUCUAUCAGUGGGUUGUGUUAGAGUACCAACUAAUCUUCUCUUGAGUUUGUCAUAACCUGAAAAAAUGCUGACAGAGUGUUGUCGGUGGAACUUAAAGCUGCAACUCCUUCUCCUAUGGAUCGUGUUCCAGUUUGAGCCUCUGAAGAUAUUGACUGACCUCUACCUAUCUGCUUCACUGUUACUACAAGGACGAUGAUUCACCUAGAUUCAUAGAUCGCAAAUGUCCUUCUUUCUGGGUAGGUUGAGGAUAGGUCAGUAUCAGCCCCUCUACUUCCACAACUGUUGGUUUAAGGUAGUGCAACAUAUCCUAGCCCCUCUUUUUAUAGUGAAGGUUUUGGAUAGCUAGAGCUUUAUUUCUAGCUUUUAUUUAAACAAUUGUAAUGUCUCCUUCUAGACAUACUCUUAAUUUAUCUUUACUGGAUGGUGUUUUCGGAUGAUUGUAAUUCUAUAGUUAUUCAUAUAUCUCUUUGGAUGUUGUCCUUUGACUGA